CACGAGGUGAUGACCCAGGCGCGCGGC
rnacentral:sRNA from 1 species